rnacentral:lncRNA from 1 species
UGGGCAUUGGAAAGAGAAGAGAGAGAGAGUGUGGCAUGGAGAAGAAGAAAAUGAGAGAGAUCUAAUUUUUUAAUCAAAUAAAAAUAAUUUCUUUAAAAUCUUAGGAGACCUUCUCAUUAUAUAGGCCUUUCCUUGAUUCAAAACAGGAACCAAUUAACUUAAAAAGGUACAUCCUUAUCUCAUAAAAAAUUUUAUCUUUUUACUCUGA